AACACCCUGGCUCCUGCCUCAUCCCGAUUCAUCCCCGCCGCCGGCACCCCCAGCCCCAAGCCCCGGCGACCCCGGGUCCAUGCCCCCGCGCCCUGGCCUCGCCCCCGACAUCCCACGCCCCGGUGACCCCCAAACCCCCGCCCCUCUCCAGCCCUCCACUUCCUCUCGCUCGCCGCCAGCGCCACCGCUGUUCCGUUCGUGGCUUCUCUCUCCGGCCAGCACGUUGAUGCUCGCGCGCGCCGCCGCCUGCUCGUAGCCACAGUUGCCCAACACGAUGCCCUGCGGCGGCGGGGGAGCGGGAGGGCUCGACGGUGGAGGCGGGGGCAGGCUGAGGCGGCUCGUCCACUCCCUCGCCAUGGCCGCGCCGGUGCCCGUUCCCGCACAACCCCGGAGGUGCCCCUGCUCCGCACCCCUCUGGACCUUCUACCCCGUCCUCCGCCGCCACCGCCGCGCCUCACACUUCCUCUCACGUCUCGCUCAUGCCUCCCUUUCUCAUUCUUGCUCUGUUCAUCGCAGGCCAAAUUUACUCUUCAAUUAACUUGACAGCUUGUCUUCUGACGAUUGUAGGGUUAACUAUUUUAUGAAUGUAUAUAACGGAGAGACAUAGCAAGCAAUAUUUGAUGAUGUGCUGAAAGGUGUCAUUCAUUUUAAUUCUGAACCCUGGCAUGUGAUAUCUGACAGUGCAAAAUAUCUGAUAACAAGAAUGCUCAAUCCUCGCCCAGCUGAACGCUUGACAGCACACAAAGUUUUAUGCACCACUGUGGCAGGGCACAUGAGCAUGACAGCAGCCGGCGAGCAGUGAACAUAGAGCGGUAUAGAGUGGCCAUCGGCUAGCCAGGCAAGGCAGAAACCGGCGAGGCUGUGAGGAUGAAUACACAAAUGGCUUCAAAGAAGAAGGCGGCAAAUGCUGAAAUACGCAACGAGAAGUUAUUUUUCCGUCCAUUCUAGUGCUCUUGGUUUACUCUUAGUGAUUUAGUUAUGCAUUGCUUUCUUCUUUAUAAAUCCGCCACACCUGAAAAUUAUUCCUACCUUGUCUGUUAUGGCAAUAUAAUUAGGAAGCAUGUAGUAGACAUCAUUUUACAUUUACAUUACUAUAUUCCUUUUGUCUGUUAUGUUGCAAAUAGGGGCACAUAACUCUACUUCUGAUAUGCAAAACUGGAUUUCUGCAAGUAAAUGCUAUAAUCAAAUUUUCAUUCUUUUUAAAGCACCUAGCAUUUGAUUUCUCGUGAGAAUUUAUGCUUAAGCACGAGCAUAUGCGUAUCUAUUUAAGUUAUUUCUUAAUCGACUAGUGUAGCAAGUCCACAUCAAUUUAUUCUACUGACUCAUAAAUUCAGCUUGGGCUUUAUGCUGCAGGCUUUGAAAACAUUUCAAAGACAAGUUAUAACAAGGUAAACGAAGAAACUUACAUGUCCCUUGUGUACCAUUAGAUUCAUUAGGCGGAUGUGGACAACAGUGGGACCAUUGACUAUAUUGAGUUCAUCGCUGCAACAUUGCAUCUGAAUAAACUGAAGCGUGAGGAGCAUCUAGUGGCAGCCUUUUCAUAUUUUUACAAAGAUGGAAGUGGUUACAUCACAGUGGAUGAGCUGCAGCAAGCUUGCCUGGAGCAUAACAUGCCAGAUGCUUUUCUUGAUGAUGUCAUUAAAGAAGCUGACCAGGACAACGUAAGUGCGGUCUUGAUUCUAUAUAUUUAUUAUUCUCGAGAUAUGGUAUAUCUUGGUUACCUAUUAAUCCAUUACUAUCUUCCUACCUGGGAUAUGCAUUUGUACAAUCAAUGCAAGUAGCAGGAUGCAAUAGAACUUGUUCAGUAGUCUAGCCAAGACAAUAAAAUAAUCCCGUGUUUGGUUGGCCCACCGCGUAUUAGGUAAAAACGGCGGGGCCCCGAAGGUGAUUAGAAAACCGGGAGCCGAACGCUCGAAACAAACAAAUCUCGUAUUCAGAGCUAGUUUGAAAACAGAGCUUCCCGAUACCCAAGUCUAAUAUGUUACCUGCACGCAAAACAAACACAUCGUUAGGUCUUAUCCACUACAUACUUACAAUUAGGACCAAAUACUUUAUGGGUGUGGGAAACAUAUUAGACCAAAUACUUGACCAAUAAAUUCUACUUGAAGUUGUGCACUCAUUUAAGAAAGGUUUACAGAUUCAUUUUAUGAAAUACUGGUGGACAUAGAUUUAUGCCCUAUAGUGCUGCUCCAAGAGGUAGUUUGCCCCAGAGAGGCUGUCUUCAUCGACCAACAGAGCUCAUUUGCCGCUUUAUUAACGAAUGCUUAUGGUUCUGUUAUUAGUAUAAAAAAUAAGUUGGUUGCAUGAACUGCUUGUCCUGAUUUUGCUCUCUUUUGGUUCAGCCUGAUGGCAGCAGUUGCAUCUUUUUUUGGUGGCUUUCUUUAGCACGUAAUAUAAUUAGGAAGCAUGUACUCCCUUUAUCAUAGUAUAUUGCGCGUAUCUCACAGGGCGUAUCUCACAGCUCAAUACACUACCACUGUUGGAGGAUGAAAUAGUUCUAAUUUAUUUAUUACUUGUACAUUAUAAUAUUUUAUUAUUUUGUAUGCUUUGUUAUGUUUGAUUAUUUGAAUUACCACGAUGAUCUGAAGAACCCAGAAGAAGUAGAGGAUAGGUCAGGAGGAGGGAACAAGAAGCUUCGUUUAUUAUUGAUGUUAUGUGUGAUUAAUAAAAACUUGUGCUUCUCAUCUAAUUUGUUGUGCACUUGUAGAACUAUUUUGGUGUGCACUUGUUGGGCCUGAAAUCUUUAUGUGUAGAGGAGUCGAUGGAUGAUGUAUUGUAAUUCAUGUGAUGUGCUACUGAAAUGAAAUAUAUAUAUAACUAAUUUGCAA